rnacentral:tRNA from 1 species
GGGGUGCGCUUGGGCGCUGACACGGAUUCUAAACCCGUUAAUGACAGUUCGAUUCUGUCCACCCCCGCCA